AAACAUGUCCAUCCCCAGUCCCCUGGUGACUGAGGAGAGGUUAAUUCCGUGGUACUGGGUGCAGCAGCGGACUGGAGGCAGUCCCUGGAGCGCUUUUGGCAGACUUGGCAGCUGUUUUGCCAUAGGGAGGACAGGGUUAACAAAUUCAGGUUUUGCAUUUUUUGACGGUUGCACUACUGACUGGGAUCUUGGCAUCUUGUCCUGUUAUGAGGAAACCCGAUAGGCAGUAUUUGGGUUGCUCGACCCACGUGUGCCGCGGGUGUUCAGUACGUACCGCUCCAUAGCCGUGCCGGGAGGGUGUCUGCCACCCUGCAACAGGUACCAGCUGGCUGAUAUCUUUCUUUUCCUCCGGCCAUUACAAGGCACGAUCAGAAGAGCUCUGUUGAUCAAAAUCAAAAUCAAAAGGGGAAGAAAUGAACCAGAGAGGAUCAGGAUUGUCUGCCAGUACACUGCUGCAGAGAAUGGGCUAUCAGUGGGAAGAGUCUGUGAAGUAACAACAAAAAAUACCUUGAAGCUUUUCCCAAAAGUUUACCAGUGUUCAAAGGAAUGAGUCUUUGUCAAAAAUCAGAAUGUUCAUUAAAGACAACCCUUCUGCAUUUCAUGAAUUUUAUUAUUUUUUAUGUGGACAUGUACAGGGUUUUUUGUUUGUUUGUUCCUCUGUGUAUAAAGGAUUCAGAUGGAGGUUACACUUUUUGUAAUAUAUGAAGAUGCUAUUAAUCUCAGUGAAUAAAAUUCCAAUAAAUUUUACCUAC